CCGCUCUGCUGUUCCGACCUGCAAAAUAAAGUUCAGAAACGGUUCAAACACCCAAACAGUUACGGUUAAUAUAGUUCCGUUCUGUUCCUUUUUAAACCUCUGAAAUCUUUUUUUUUUUUUUUUUUACAUUUAGCUCGACAUGAAAUCACUUCACCAAUCAGUGCAGAUAUAGCAGCUUGCUACGGAGCAGGUCAGAUAUAGCAGGUUGCUAUGGAGCAGGUCAGAUAUAGCAGGUUGCUAUGGAGCAGGUCAGAUAUAGCAGGUCAGAUAUAGCAGCUUGCUAUGGAGCAGGUCAGACAUAACAGGUCAGAUAUAGCAGCUUGCUACGGAGCAGGUCAGAUAUAGCAGCUUGAUAUGGAGCAGGUGAGAUAUAGCAGGUUGCUAUGGAGCAGGUCAGAUAUAGCAGGUUGCUAUGGAGCAGGUCAGAUAAAGCAGGUUGCUAUGGAGCAGGUCAGAUAUAGCAGGUUGCUAUGGAGCCGGUCAGAUAUAGCAGCUUGCUACGGAGCAGGCCAGAUAGAGCAGCUUAAUAUGGAGCAGGUCAGAUAUAGCAGGUUGCCAAGGAGCAGGUCAGAUACAGCAGGUUGCUAUGGAGCAGGUCAGAUAUAGCAGCUUGAUAUGGAGCAGGUCAGAUUUAGCAGGUCAGAUAUAGCAGCUUUCUACGGAGCAGGUCAGAUAUAGCAGCUUGCUGUGGAGCAGGUUGUAAAGACCAGCGUUGGAGAUGAGAAGCAGGUACGGGGAGUCAACAUUUAAUCGGGAACAGACAGGUGACAAGACAGGCACAGUGUCGGCACACGGGUAAACAAGGACAUAUAACAAUCAACGGUGAAGCGGGGAACAGAACUGGGGAACAGACAGAUAUAGGGGAGGUAAUGACACAGGUGAUUGAGUCCAAUAAUCGCUGAUGCGCGUGAUGGGUGAAGGCAGGUGUGUGUAAUGAUGGUGGCAGGAGUGCGUAAAGCUGGGGAGCCUGGUGUGACAGUACACCCCCCCCCCC
ensembl:lncRNA